CGGAAGCAGCUAUAUGAAAGAUGGAAUCCACAAAGCUGGUUAUGCAUUGAAAGAAAAAAGAAAGGACAUUAAUAUUUGGAUGGACUCAAAGUAUGCCUUCGGAGUAGUUCAUGCUCAUGGAGCAGUGUGGAAAGAAAGAGAGUUACUCACAUCACAAGGAAAACAGAUAAAGCACGCAGAAGAAAUCUUAAAAUUACUUGAAGCUGUCCAGUUACCGAAAAGGCUUGCUAUUAUGCAUUGUAGAGGACAUCAAAAAGGCUUGACCAAGAAAAAGGCAAUCGAUUGGCAGAUCGAGAGGCGAAAAAGGCAGCAGAAAACGGCCAGGUAGAACUUGCCUCCCUAAUUCCUGAUGGCAAAAUUAUAGAGGAUGUGACUUUAAAUACACUGCUCCUGUGACCACCAUGCAAUUGAUCUCAGAUAGAUAUAUGUCAUAUCAUGAAGUGCCUAAACUACAAAUAGGCAUGGACAUUAAUAUCCUCCAGAAAAUGCUCUAUCAUCCGGAUAUUGAACAAAUGAUGGAAAAGGUAAAUGCUACUUCACGUCGCAUGCUGUGGCAAGUGAAACACGACACAACAGAGAUAAAAAACAUCAUUACAGAAGUGACAAAAACUGGAGAACAUCAUUGGUGGAGCAUGUUUUUGAGAUUAACCAAUAGACAUUCACCCACGGCAGCUCAGCUAUUUAACUUCCUGAUUCACCCGAUCUUGGUUUUGAUGCUGGCAGCUCUCCUCCUUACAAUCGUCAAUCUAUGGAUGUGGUGGAAAAUAAGAACUAUAGUACAACAAGUACAUGUGCUCUGGACUGUACAAAAAGUGAUGCAAAAGAAUUUGCAUUAGUUAAAAGAAAAGGGGGGAAUUGAAAUAGAGAAUGAAAUAAAAUAUUAGAUAUUUAGCUAUGAAGGUGUGACUUUGCAAAAUGUAAAACUGCUUAAAAGUUUCUGACCGAACUGUGGACAAUUGAGAUAAAAGGCUUAGAGAAUGGGGAAGGCUUUUUAGCACGUAGAGAGGGGUGGGGAACCUGAAACUGCUUGAAGUGAUAAAACUUUACGUAACUACUCUAUAAUGGUAAGAAUAGGAGGUAAAACUAAGUGUCUAUUUAGAUAAGAAAGACUGCAAAAGGAGUGUGUGUAAAGAUAAUUUUGAGCUUGCUACUUUCAAACUGUAUAAAAGGCUAUGUUAUUUCUUGGCUCGGCGGAGUGCACUGGGGAGAACACCUGCCCCUUUGCAUUCCCCGGCCGUAAUAAAAGUGCUUUUCAGAU